AUAGUGAGAAAAAAAGAAGAAGAA
rnacentral:sRNA from 1 species